GGCUUUGCCUGCUAUCUCUUACCCAUGUCUUUUGAGUACCUUACGUUUCCUCGGUGGGUUCGCCCACCGAUUGGACAAAUUUAAACCCUUUGCAGUUGAAAUCAGCGUCUGAAAGAACUUAAUAGUUACAACUUUCAACAACGGAUCUCUUGGUUCUGGCAUCGAUGAAGAACGCAGCGAAAUGCGAUAAGUAGUGUGAAUUGCAGAAUUCAGUGAAUCAUCGAAUCUUUGAACGCACAUUGCGCCCCUUGGUAUUCCAUGGGGCAUGCCUGUUCGAGCGUCAUUUGUACCUUCAAGCUCUGCUUGGUGUUGGGUGUUUGUCUCCUGUAGACUCGCCUCAAAACAAUUGGCAGCCGGCGUAUUGAUUUCGGAGCGCAGUACAUCUCGCGCUUUGCACUCAUAACGACGACAUCCAAAAGUACAUUUUUACACUCUUGACCUCGGAUCAGGUAGGGAUACCCGCUGAACUUAAGCAUAUCAAUAAGCGGAGGAA
rnacentral:misc_RNA from 1 species